GUAGUUUUCCCAGAUCAGGGUGGGAAAUUAGAAUAGAUAGGCUUUGACAGGCAAGGUGAAGAUUCAUUUUUGGAAUGCCUGCCAUUGUAUCAGUGACAAAACAAUGGAUCUGCACACUGAGUGGAUUACAUCUUUCAUACCAUGAACUCUGUUCACCAGAGAGCUGCUCACAGAAUCAAGUGGGGUUAGGAAUUGCUGGAUAAUAUGAUAACUUCUGAGAUUAACGGCACAGAGAGAUGGGUUUAGUCUUUUCCCACUCCCCAACCCCACCCCCUAAACCCACGCUACCCCAGCUAUCCUAUCAUCCCAUGCGUCUCAUCCCACCUAAUUGGGCAUAAAAUGAGAUAAACAAAGUCUGUCAUUGUUGGAAGCAGUGAUGAUUGAAAGGCAGGGAAGCACAUGGUUGGCAUGGGAUGGAGUUGGAAGGCAGAGCAAGUUGGCUGUGUAGAAAGAAUAAAGAAAAGAAGAUAAUAAGGUAUAUAAGCCUCAUUUUGUCAAGUCAGGAACAAGAGACGGUGACAGUAAAAAGCACCAGCCUCGACUCAAGAAGUGAUCAUAUGGCAUAAACUUGUACAGAUGAGAGGAAAUAGAAGAAGGAAACAGAAGAAGAAAACCUGGUAGGAUGAGGAAGAAUCUUUUUCUGUAGUCUCUCCUGAAUUGGGCUCCAUCAAUGCUUAGUGAAUUGGAGUUAAGA
rnacentral:lncRNA from 13 species